UACGUAGGUGGCAAGCGUUGUCCGGAUUUAUUGGGUUUAAAGGGUGCGUAGGUGGUUUGAUAAGUCAGUGGUGAAAGCUGGUUGCUCAACAAUCAAGUUGCCAUUGAUACUGUCGGACUUGAGAGAAGUGGAGGUUCAUGGAAUGGAUGGUGUAGCGGUGAAAUGCAUAGAUAUCAUCCAGAACGUCGAUUGCGAAGGCAGUGGGCUGUACUUUAUCUGACACUGAGGCACGAAAGUGUGGGGAUCAAACAGG
rnacentral:rRNA from 1 species